rnacentral:lncRNA from 1 species
GUUAUCACAGUUCAACUCUAAUUCUGUGAGAAUGCCAAUAAUGAGGAUGAUCGAUUGAUGGGUAAUAGAACAAAGCCUUGCAUUUGAAAUGUAGGAGACACCUUACAAUAGUAAAAACUUAAGAGGACUCAAAGGUCCUACAAGAUGAACACAAGCACUUUUUCUUAGAAAACAUACCACAUUAUCAUCAGUUUUAAUUACAAAAUAAUAAAUAUUAGCAUUAUUAUAAAUUGUUCAAAUUUACAACCAUUCUGUUAACAUGUGAUAACUAGAGCCUGACACAUAGCUGUAGUUUUGCAGCAACAUAGAUGUGGCUGGAGGCCAUUAUCCUAAGUGAAUUAUAUGAUCUCAUUUUGACAGCUGUCUACAGUACCCUUAUGUGUAAGGCUCCAGUCAGGACAUCAACAAGAGUAAAAUAUGUACAACAUUUGGCCCUGCCUUCCAGAAACCCUUGUGUGAGAGAGGCAAGUCAUGGGUAAAAAUUUCAUUGCAUUUGUAGAAUGUUGACAAAAUAUUGUAAGUAUAUGAAAGAAAUAAAUUUUCUUUUGAGCAGAUCUAGAAAAAAUUCUUAAAAGUGGUGGUAGUCAAAGUAAAUCUUAUGCAAUAAGUCAGAUGUCAGCAAUUAAAUGUGAGCCCUGAUAUUCAAAGAAGACACAGGGGCACACACAGGAUACAAGAAAUACUAAGAUAUGCUGGUGUUUUCAAGCAUAAACUUCUAGAGGUGGAAUUUUUUCCUAACACUUAUUUCAAUACAAUGCACAGAUAUGAACUUAAGACGUUACUUGGUGAUGAUCAUUUUCAGUCACUUUGCCCAAACAACC